AUUGAACGCUGGCGGCAGGCCUAACACAUGCAAGUCGAGCGGAUGAAGGGAGCUUGCUCCUGGCUUCAGCGGCGGACGGGUGAGUAAUGCCUAGGAAUCUGCCUGGUAGUUGGGGAUAACGUCCGGAAACGGGCGCUAAUACCGCAUACGUCCUGAGGUAGAAAGUGGGGGAUCUUCGGACCUCACGCUAUCAGAUGAGCCUAGGUCGGAUUAGCUAGUUGGUGGGGUAAAGGCCUACCAAGGCGACGAUCCGUAACUGGUCUGAGAGGAUGAUCAGUCACACUGGAACUGAGACACGGUCCAGACUCCUACGGGAGGCAGCAGUGGGGAAUAUUGGACAAUGGGCGAAAGCCUGAUCCAGCCAUGCCGCGUGUGUGAAGAAGGUCUUCGGAUUGUAAAGCACUGUAAGUUGGGAGGAAGGGCAGUAAGUUAAUACCUGGCUGUUUUGACGGUACCAAAAGAAUAAGCACCGGCUAACUUCGUG
rnacentral:rRNA from 1 species